UGUUUGAUAAAAUUAAAUGCCAAUACUUCGUUGGCUAUGAGCGUUUUAGAACUGAUAGUGGAAACAGGGCAGCGGCUAUAGCCGCGUAAUCGCGAAUUUAAAAUUCAUAUAGUGAAACACAAAGGCGUUAAAAAACUGCAUUUCAAUACGGUCGAUCAUCGAUUUAAAAACUUCGGUGCCGUUGACAGAGUUGGCGGUCUUCAUAAAACACCUCUAAAGCUUGCUUCGUGGGUUAUAAACGAGCUUCGCGGGCUACAAGUUACUUUUCCAGCAUAGAAAUAAAGCAGAUUUUGACUUCAAGAAGCCAGAAGAACUAGUUUGCUAGCUUACUGACACUAACUUGCUAACCCAGCGGGAAAACUAGACUCGUACAUCCCGGCCAUAGCAGGGAAUUAUGUCAUUUUGACACUUUUGGCACUCUCAUGAUAUAAUAUUUCAGAUUAUUUUGUUCCAUUUUGUUUUUAUUUCAGAGAAAGUUAUGUUUAUUUUGAUAUAUUUUACAAAAUGAAGGUAGAAAAUGCAGGAUACGAGUCAUACGAUCAUGCUCAACAAACAGCGCACUUAAAAACAUUAGAUUUGUUAAAACACGAGUUCCAGCAAAGAGUCGAAAGUCCCCCAGUUACUUAUGAAAAAUCUCUACAAAGCUUCGAUAACAUUAAAACUAUUGGUACUGGUGCAUUUUCAUUAGUGUUUUUAGUUCGAGAUACCACAAGUUUUACGUAUCAUGCCAUGAAAGCAAUAGAUAAAGAAGAGGUUAUACGGAAAAAGUGGCUGAAGCAAUUAUCAAUGGAAAAGAAGAUUCUGCUAAGUGUCCAUUUUCCAUUCGUAACAACAAUGGAUUAUUGUUUAAAAGAUAAUGUGUAUGUUUAUUUUAUAUUACCAUAUAUGGUUGGAGGUGAACUGUUUACAAUGUUAAGGAAAUAUGGCUGUCUAUCGGAAGAAUCGAGUAAAUUUUAUGCAGCUCAAGUGGUUCUAGCACUAGAAUAUCUUCAUCAUUGUGGGGUUAUUCACAGAGACAUUAAACCCGAAAACAUAGUAAUCGGUAUAACUGGUUAUAUAAUGUUAGCUGAUAUGGGGUUCAGCAAAAUUAUAAAAACUCGAACGUGGACAAUUUGCGGGACACCAGAAUAUUUGGCGCCGGAAAUUAUAACAUCAAAAGGUUACUCGUUUGCCGUUGACUGGUGGUCAUUAGGAGUGCUAAUUUUUGAAAUGUGUACCGGCUAUCCGCCAUUCUUCAGUGCGGAUCCUAUGGUCUUAUACGAGAAAGUUCUUAGAGGUCACUUUAAGACACCGGCGAGCAUGUCUAGUGGCUGCAAAUCUUUAGUAAAGCAUUUGUUGGAAGUAGAACCUACUAAGCGCAUGGGUGCACUCAAAGCAGGUGUGUUUGACAUCAAAAGCGAUUUUUGGUUCGUUGAUAUUAAUUGGAAUAUGAUACUACAUCAAAAAGUGGUGCCUCCAUUUGUUCCUAAAAAUGGAGCAGGUGAUACAUCAAAUUUUCGAGAUUUACCAGAACAGAAGGUUAAAGUAUCUCCGGUUUGUUUAUAUGAAAAAGAAUUUGAAAACUUUUAGCUCAAAAUCACAAGACAUAUUAGUAUAGAACAAAGUGAAUUAUUGUGCCUAUGUCUAUAAGGUUUUCCGAGCACUGGAGUAUCCUGCUGAAAUGGCCAAGCAAGAGUACCAUAGAGAAAGACUUCUAACCGAGAGGUGGAAUCUUAUACGUUUUGUAUCUGAACGAAACAAUGGCACAGAUAAUGAUGGAACCGAA
rnacentral:misc_RNA from 1 species